rnacentral:rRNA from 1 species
CCUACGGGUGGCAGCAGUCGAGAAUCAUUCACAAUGGGGGAAACCCUGAUGGUGCGACGCCGCGUGGGGGAAUGAAGGUCUUCGGAUUGUAAACUCCUGUCAUGUGGGUGCAAAUUAAAAAGAUAGUACCACAAGAGGAAGAGACGGCUAACUCUGUGCCAGCAGCCGCGGUAAUACAGAGGUCGCAAGCGUUGUUCGGAAGCACUGGGCGUAAAGCGUGCGUAGGCUGUUUCGUAAGUCGUGUGUGAAAGGCGCGGGCUCAACCCGCGGACGGCCCAUGAUACUGCGAGACUAGAGUGAUGGAGGGGGAACCGGAAUUCUCGGUGUAGCAGUGGAAUGCGUAGAUAUCGAGAGGAACACUCGUGGCGAAGGCGAGUUCCUGGACAUUAACUGACGCUGAGGCACGAAGGCCAGGGGAGCGAAAGGGAUUAGAUACCCCGGUAGUC